CCAUGGGUGGCCCAGCGGGUGUGUGCGAUGCCGGUGGUGCCGGCGAAGCGCUUGGGGACGCGGGCCUCGAGUUCGCGGACCCGGCCCUUGGCC
rnacentral:tRNA from 1 species